rnacentral:rRNA from 1 species
AUUGAACGCUGGCGGCAUGCCUUACACAUGCAAGUCGAACGGCAGCACGGGUGCUUGCACCUGGUGGCGAGUGGCGAACGGGUGAGUAAUACAUCGGAACGUACCUUAUCGUGGGGGAUAACGCAGCGAAAGCGGUGCUAAUACCGCAUACGCCCUGAGGGGGAAAGCGGGGGAUCGCAAGACCACGCCCGAUUAGACCCGCCUAUGCCUGUUUAGCUUGUUGGUGGGGUAAAAGCCCACCAAGGCGACGAUCAGUAGCUGGUCUGAGAGGACGAUCAGCCACACUGGGACUGAGACACGGCCCAGACUCCUACGGGAGGCAGCAGUAGGGAAUUUUGGACAAUGGGGGCAACCCUGAUCCAGCAAUGCCGCGUGAGUGAAGAAGGCCUUCGGGUUGUAAAGCUCUUUUGUCAGGGAAGAAACACCGGCUCUAACACAGUCCGGGAAUGACGGUACCUGAAGAAUAAGCACCGGCUAACUACGUGCCAGCCGCCGCGGUAA